rnacentral:tRNA from 1 species
GCCGCAGUAGCUCAGUGGUAGAGCACCACUUUGGUAAAGUGGAGGUCACGAGUUCAAUCCUCGUCUGCGGCU